UUGAUGCUUAUCUACUGAAUGUUCUGUGUCCCAUGGUGUCACAGAGAAUAGCAUCCUGCUCCCCUCAUGGGGCCAGGCUGGAUGGGGCAUUGAGCAGUUUGGGCUAGUGGGAGGUGUCCCUGCCCAUGGCAGAGGGGGUGGAACUGGAUGGUCUUUAUGGUUUCUCCCAACCCAAAUCAUUCUGGUUCUAUGAUUCCUGGCUCUCUGCUUCUGGGUGGUGGUUGGCAGCAGCAGUACAUCAGUGUUAAACUUGAGCACAGUCAGAGACAGCUGCGGUAGUUUCUGCAUUGGGGAAGAAUGUCUGCAAACUUACAGGUUUAUAUGCAAGCUCAGCAGCAAGCCCCUGAAUUUCUGGUGCUGAAAAGAAUGACUGACUAUGACAGACACAGCAAGGCUACUACUCCUUCAUGGUAUUUUAUGCUGUUCCAUGGAUGACACCAUGAGAAGAAAACUUUUCCACAGUAUUUCUGAAUUGCUGAACUGCAAGCAGAUUGACACUUCCAGGCCAAACCAAGUCACUGGGAUGAAAGCUGGCAGAAGGUGUGUGCCCUGGAGCAAAGCUGGCUUAAUUGCUUAUGAAAAAGUGGCCAAAAUAUACUUCUGCUUCUUCACCACAAUCUGCCCUGUAGGCGCAAGAGGAUCAACUCCUAAGGUGGCUGUCCUAACUAAGAAAACUGCCAGAGCACCUCCAAGAAAAACACUGACCUCCCAGAUGCAGAAAAAAAUAGCAUGCCGAAAAUACCCUUCCAAGCAAAAGGUGAAGCUAAAAAUAAACAAAUCCCAGGAGGCUGGGCAUUCUCCACACAAGUCUGCCCAACUCACUUGGUGGUUACCUACACCUGACUUCUGCAACUAUUAGCUAACCAUACAGAUAUUUCCUCCGAUAAGGACCAGAGGCCUACAUCCAUGUCUGUUUGGAACUAGCUCAGUUCACAAGUCACAACAUAUUAUAUAUGUGAAAAAAAACUGAGGCCAAAUAGUGGCUGUAGCAUGUUUUUGCUAAUGCCAGGAAAACCUGUGAAAAGACAAAAGUCGUAAUUCCCAAAUGUAUUCCAUCUCCCUGAAGGAUUCAUGAAAAUUUCAUUGUAAAUCCUCCAGGACAAAAAAACAUUGAGAAGUAGCUAUGUGUGUUGCUACAGUUUAAGGACAAUAUGCAGUCACAGUUAAUGUGGAUUAUUUUUGGGUUAUUUGUGUUCCUACAGCUAUGAACUAUAAAUGGUAGAGCCAUGCUUCUGGUUAACUGAGGCAAGUGGAAGGUGGAGGAGAGAGGGUAUGAGAAUCAGCCUGUGAAAAACAAAGUGGGAUGUGUCAGAACUCAUCUGUGAAGGACUCUCAGUUAUAACAUACCUGGCAGAGAUUGUCAUUCAUGCAGGUGAAUGUCCUGCCUUCUUGUUUCCAAACCCAAUGUGUGCCCUUUAUGUCAAAAAUCCAUUUAUUAUUAUACUAUAAAAUAACACCUGAAAAAAAACCUCAUCUUGGUAAAACAAGAGUCAGACAUGGGCUCGCAAAAAGUGCUGCAAAAUCUUCAGUAGGCUCACCCCUGUGCACAGCUCUAGAGACUGCAUUGCAUAUAUUCCUCAUGUAUCACACAUUGUGCAGGACCAUGUGCCAAAUUAUUCCAAAGUCAAAAUAUUUCCUGCAAGUAGAGUCAAGUGUGGUUAAUGAAUGAAGCAAGGAGCAAGCAGUAUGAUAACAAAAUUGUUCCUUAUUUAGUUCACAAUUAGGAGGGAUUACUUAUCCACAGGAUUCUGUGAUUCAGUGAUGGGUUAUUGAAUAGCAAACAGUGAUUUAAGGCUAAAAGCUGUGAGCAAAGCAUUCUGAUUUAUUACAGAAACAAAAAUAAUGUCAGCAUUUUGACUGGAGAACAGGGAUCUUUUGUUAAAGGAAUUCUUGGGAAUAAAAACAAUGGUCCUUUGCAAAACAUUGCUAUCAUAUCCAGUUUCUCAGCCAAACUGAAAACAUUAGCAACAUUUAUUUUAUUUAUGACGUUUAAUUGAGAAAAAAUCAACAUGGAUCUAUUUUGAUCAGCAUAAGGUAGCACAAACUGAAAUUCCUAGUGAAACGCACAGAAAAUAUAUUAACUAUUUCUGUAGUUGAAAGCAGUGUUAUGAAGCAGUUAAGGGAAAACAACACAAUUUUAUCUUCAUGCCA